rnacentral:lncRNA from 1 species
GAAACUUUUUGGGAAAGUUCCCCAAAACUUUGGGGAACUGUGUUCCCCUGAAGUUUGGAGGGUGAGGAGUGAAAGAGGUUGAGAAGAAUGAGCUGGCUGGAUGGAGUCUUGUUCUGUCACCAGGCUGGAGUGCAGUGGUGCGAUCUCAGCUCACUACAACCUCCACCUCCUGGGUUCAAGUGAAUCCCCUGCCUCAGCCUCCCUAGUAGCUGGGACUACAGGCACACACCACCACACCUGGCUAAUUUUUUGUAUUUUUUAGUAGAGACGGGGUUUCACCAUGUUGGCCAGGAUGGUCUCAAUCUCUUGACCUCAUGAUCUGCCCACCCCACCCUCCCAAAGUUCUGGGAUUACAGGCCUGAGCCACUGCACCUGGCUGCUAGUUCUUAAGAGGGAGGUAUGAGACGUAUGUAUAGACUAAGUGAAAGGAAAAUAUCUUGGGCCCCCAAAAUCACUAAGCUAAAAGGAAAAUUCAAGCUGGAAACUGCUCAGAGCAAACCUGCUUCCCAUUCUAUUCAAAGUCAUCCCUCUGCUCACUGAGGUAAAUGCAUAUUCUGAUUGGCUCCUUUGUAAAAGCUAAUUAGAAACUCAAAAGAAUGCAACUAUUUGUCUCUCACCUACUUGUGACCUGGAAGACCCCUCCCUGCUUCAAGUUCUCCCC